CUCGGGAUGUUAGGCCGCCCUCCCGGAGGUCCCGGGCCACCAGGAUCGGAAACGGGGGCCGGAAGUGAGACGAGAGGGCUUUGCGGCAAACGAGAAGGUCUACUAGGACUCCGUCUACAAUCGUCCUAGAGCUUCUGAUGUGCUUUCUCAGUCCGAGCUGAGCAGAAGCUCCGGCCCUGGGGAGGAGAGCCGGGAGGUCUUGGGGUGAGGAACACUGAUAUAGUCCAUUUGCAGUGGGAGCUGUGGUUUAAGAUCUUCAGAGUUACCCGAGGCGCUAGGUGCCCCUUCUCCUAGGGCGGCUGACUCAGCCCAUCUCACAGCUCGGAAGAGUUGCAGAGCUCCUUCCUGGAAGCCCGCUGAGCGCGCCAUCAAAGAACCGGGCAGACAGGCUAAAGGCUCAAAUUAUGGAUAGGGUUCUUGUCCUAAACCAACAGGGUGGGGAAUUUGGGACAUGAGCAAGUUCUGGUCGAUGGAAGAGAGGGGGAAGUUUCUCGACAUCAAGGGAAUUUAAAAACCAUGUAUCGUCUUGCUUCAAAUCUGUACGCCAGCCCUGUUUGGGUUUUCUCAACGCCGCCAUUGCUUUCCGUAAAACUGAGUAUUAAAAACGACUUUGUUUUCA